CGGUGCACUGGUCGGCGGGUGGCCCGCCGCUGCUGGCGGUGCAGAGCCGCGACCAGCGCACGUUCGAGAUCCACUCCGUCGACC
rnacentral:tRNA from 1 species